CCCGUUUGAUUUGUAAAGUAAACACCGAGGAGUUAUAAUAAUAAAAGACUCCUUUGACAAGCUAACGUAUAUUUCAAAUCCUCUCACAGAGAGCUGUGUGAGCCUCAGCUACAAUAACAAUGACGAAGACUUGGCAAAUUUUGAUGGCUAUUCUGUGGCUUCGGUUAAGCUGGGCAAAUGGCAAAAAUGGAGUGGAACAGAGUCCCCAACACCUGAGUGCCCAGGAAGGAGAAGUCAUCACAAUCAAUUGCAGUUACUCCAUAGGAAUGACCACCUUACACUGGAUGCAGCAGAAUCCCGGAGGAAGCAUCAUCUCCUUGUUUAUACUGAGCUUAGAGAUGAAGAAGAAAGGAAGAAUGAGUGCCACAAUAAACACAGAGGAGAGUCACAGCUCCCUUCACAUCUCAGCUGCCCAGCUCGGAGACUCUGUCAUCUACCUCUGUGCUGUGGAGUCACAGUGCUCCCCAUGCAUCUGGAGGCCAUACCCAAACUCUGAAGCUGAGACAUCAUUUCUUUUCAUUCUUGUCUUCCCCGACUUGUCUGCCUUUCUUUGAACA